CUUCUCUUUAGACGCUGCAGCCUUGACCUCCAUCAACAGAGUUAGAGUUAGUUUAUCAUGAGAACAUACAGACACCACUGACUGGAACCAGCUGACAGUAUCAGUUGUAAAGGCUUCAUUACUACUAACAGAAGGAAAGUUGUAGUGUUAUGUCCAUGAUGAAUGAUGUAAAGGCUUCAUUACUACUAACAGAAGGAAAGUUGUAGUGUCCAUGAUGAAUGAUGUAAAGGCUUCAUUACUACUAACAGAAGGAAAGUUGUAGUGUCCAUGAUGAAUGAUGUAAAGGCUUCAUUACUACUAACAGAAGGAAAGUUGUAGUGUUAUGUCCAUGAUGAAUGAUGUAAAGGCUUCAUUACUACUAACAGAAGGAAAGUUGUAGUGUUAUGUCCAUGAUGAAUGAUGUAAAGGCUUCAUUACUACUAACAGAAGGAAAGUUGUAGUGUUAUGUCCAUGAUGAAUGAUGUAAAGGCUUCAUUACUACUAACAGAAGGAACGUUGUAGUGUUAUGUCCAUGAUGAAUGAUGUAAAGGCUUCAUUACUACUAACAGAAGGAAAGUUGUAGUGUUAUGUCCAUGAUGAAUGAUGUAAAGGCUUCAUUACUACUAACAGAAGGAAAGUUGUAGUGUCCAUGAUGAAUGAUGUAAAGGCUUCAUUACUACUAACAGAAGGAAAGUUGUAGUGUUAUGUCCAUGAUGAAUGAUGUAAAGGCUUCAUUACUACUAACAGAAGGAACGUUGUAGUGUUAUGUCCAUGAUGAAUGAUGUAAAGGUUUCAAUGUGUUUUAUAUUGAGCUGCUCUGUUAAAUUCUGUUUGUUCAUGUGAAAUUGGAAAUUGUAUUUUUCUAUAAUGUCAUUGUGUGUGUUUAGCUUGAGCAACACCAUUGUAUGGUUGCUAACUUGUCAAAUAAAGC
rnacentral:lncRNA from 1 species